rnacentral:rRNA from 1 species
UAAUACGUAGGGGGCAAGCGUUAUCCGGAUUUAUUGGGCGUAAAGAGCUCGUAGGCGGCUGAUCGCGUCGGUUGUGAAAGCUCAGGGCUCAACCCUGAGACGCCAAUCGAUACGGAUCGGCUAGAGGUAGGUAGGGGAAAGUGGAAUUCCUGGUGUAGCGGUGAAAUGCGCAGAUAUCAGGAGGAACACCGGUGGCGAAGGCGGCUUUCUGGGCCUUACCUGACGCUGAGGAGCGAAAGCUGGGGGAGCAAACAGGAUUAGAUACCCUGGUAGUCCCAGCCGUAAACGUUGGGUGCUAGGUGUGGGGAGGUCUUCAACCCUUUCCGUGCCGCAGCUAACGCAUUAAGCACCCCGCCUGGGGAGUACGGCCGCAAGGCUA